UCUCAACUCUUAAUAUAAAAGGGGAAAGUGGGAAGACAUUCUACGGACGCCUCUAACCGAGAGUCCAAACCCGCGAUAUUGUGAAGAAGUUUGCCCUGUUCGUUUCUCUGUUCGAUACCCUCUCACCGAGAGUCCACCGCCGGCAACUGAUUCACCGCCUGUUGACCACAAGCCUCGCCUGGUUCUGGUUGUUCGGAGGUAAGUCUCUCUUUGUCUUCUUUUUUUUUUUUUUUUUUUCUUGAAUCCUAUUCUUCUCUCAUGAAAAUCUGAUUUGGGUUUUGAAAGAUUUGGGGGUUUUCUGUUAGAGAUGUUAAUGGGAGAGACUACGAUUUGGGGGUUUUCCGUUUGAGACGUUUGAAGUUUGCAGAAAACCAGAGAUGGUAGCUAUUGAUUUCUUCCUCUACCUGCUUCAAGUUUCAUUUUCACUUUCAGAUUUCUCUUCUUCUUCUUCUUCUUCCUACAAUUUUAAUUCCUACCCAAUUCACAACAAUGGAGAUUGAAGCUUCAAAAUUCAAGACGUAAGAAGAAGUCCGCAUUCCACCAAAGAGAGGGCAGAUCAAAAGAAGGAUCUUUACUGGGUUGGUCAGCUCUGUACUGACAGUAGCAUCCCCUAACUGCGUGGGACAGGGGAAAAGCAAAGAUGUCAACCCAGUGCAUUUAGUUCCAUCUCCUCUGCAACCUCACCUACAAGCGCUUAUGGUUCAGAGGAUUAUUCCUAGUCCCUACGGGUUACAAGCAUACAGACAAAACCCCAAUUAAUAGAUAGAACAUGUUCUCCCCUGCCUCUCACCUGCUUUGUUCCAUAACUUAUUUUCAGUUUCUAGUGUUGGUCUUCCUCUUCUUCCUGCACUUAAUUUUCUUUCUCUUCCAUUCUAUCAAAAAGAGAACCGAUCCUUACCAUUUCUUCUUACCUUCUUCUGCUGUCUUUCUUCCAUGGUAGUCCUACAUAAGAGUUUGAGAGAGCUAUUGUUGAGAUGCAAGGGCCCCUGAAUUUUCUUUGUUUGGUAGUGAGUUAUAACCAUUGGUGCUUUUAGUUUUGUUCAGAGUAGGGGUAUCGAAAGAUGGGUUCUGUUCUGAUCUCUGAAUGAAUCAAUUUGUGGAUUCUUUACCUCAAAAUGAAAUUUCAUCAAGUCAUAGAUAUAAACUUGGGAUUAUUGUAAGUUGAAUCCAUAAUUUCAUCAAGUCAUAGAUAUAAGCCUAAGGUGUUUGAACACUACAUGAAGAAUAUCGAAGAUUGUGGUCAAGACUGACAAGGUGAUGUAAUAUUUACUCGAAUUUAGCCUUAUGUUUUCAUUCGUUUGUGACUUAUAUGGGCUCCCUUUGGGUUUGGAUUAACGUUGAGCUUACCUUGAAAAAAAAAAUUCCUUUUGGUGUUUUGAUCUGUUUCUUCUUUUUCAAGAUGUAUGUUGUUGAACCUAUGCUAUUGCUUGUAUUGCUUUGAACGAGAAGAUUGGUUUUGAAUUGAAUUGAAUUAUGUAUUUUAUGCUUAUUGGCACUAAAAAGGGCUUACGGAUCUGGAGAUUUACGAAAUUUGAAAUUUAUGCUUAUGUAGUUUAUCUCUUUAGGGUAGAUUUCUGCCUUUUCUUUCUCUUUUUGUGAGUGCUAUAGGGGUCUUCUUAUGGAAAUUUGAAAUUGUUCUUGGGAAAUUCAUGGUCGUGUGGUACUUGAAAUCACUUCAGUGAUGGUUAAGGUAAUUUAACAUAAUGCAAAUGAGGGUUCUUAGGAUUUAUUUCCUGAUGGUUUUGGAAAUUUUGCUUGUUGAUCUUUGCUUUUGCAUGGUCUGUUAAUCUAGAUUCUGUCAUGAAUCUCGUGAGUUGGAGACGGGGAACUAAAGAUUGAGGUUAGUAUCAGUGUUGUGAUACAUGUAGCAAUAUACUAAUUGCACUUUGAAGUUAAAAUAUAGUCCAGAGUGUGUCUUCUUACAUGAGGAGCUUACUAGAGGUGUAAAUGAGUUGUCUUUAACUAGGUACUCGUAUUGUCAAGUUUGAUAUUCUACUAGAAAACAUUUACUAUUAUGUGAGGCAUGGGUUAAAAUAUAAAUGUGUUUAAGGUAUGUGUAUGCAUCAAUAUACCAUGACCUGUUGUUAAUUGGAAAUUGCUAUCUGUCUCAGCAUUUGGCUUUCUAUCAUUUUUUUAAAGUAAAUAUAAGGCUUUACUUACCUUGAUUCCUUAUGGAAUUUCGCUAUGUCAUGUAAUUUAAAAACAACGGAACAUGAGAUAUUUAAUAGUUUUUGAGUGGGAUGGAGGUAAAGAUUCAGUAAAUGAUUAUGUACUUAUUUCAAUAAUUGUCAUGCAACAUAAACUGAACGAUCGUUCUCCAUUGUAAGUUUCUAUAUUUUGGUCAAUUCUUUGCGGCAAUUGUGUCAUACAAAUUCUCUAUCUUUGUCUCACGCCUGGCUGAUGAUCCUGCCAAUAAAAAAAAAUGAUACGAAAGCUGAAAACCAUGCUUCAUCUAGUAGCAACACUGGGCUUAGAGUACUAGGCAUAUGCAUUGGGGUUGUGGUUGUUGUAGCCUUAUCUGUAUUCCUAUUUAAGCUAUGGCAGAAGAAGAAGAGAGAAGAAAAACAUGUGCGCCUUUUGAGGUUAUUUGAAGAGGAUGAUGAGCUUGAGCUUGGCCUUGGGGAUUGAAGUAUGUUCUUAUUUAUACUAUGACUGUAAUUUUGUUGAGACAAGUUAUAUAAUAAACAUCUGGACCAGAUCAUCAAUAGAUUUAGCUGUUUCUUCUUUUUGUUUUGUCAUUCUAUAUGACGUCCAUACCAGAUUAUAACAUGUUUUUUGGCAGAUGGUUUUUUGGGGUAUCUUUUGAAAUUAAUGAAAAUUCUGGUUGUAGUUGUUGAUUCUUGACCACUUUAUGUAUUUUUCUUUCCAUGCGAUUCUUAUUUAAUUGCUGAGAGGACAAGCGGCUAAUAUGAAAGUUCAUAUUAUCUUCUUUAUUC